rnacentral:rRNA from 1 species
UUGCUUCAAUUGCCGGCGACCGGCGCACGGGUGCGUAACGCGUAUGUAACCUACCUAUAACAGGGGCAUAACACUGAGAAAUUGGUACUAAUUCCCCAUAAUAUUCGGAGAGGCAUCUCUCCGGGUUGAAAACUCCGGUGGUUAUAGAUGGACAUGCGUUGUAUUAGCUAGUUGGUGAGGUAACGGCUCACCAAGGCAACGAUACAUAGGGGGACUGAGAGGUUAACCCCCCACACUGGUACUGAGACACGGACCAGACUCCUACGGGAGGCAGCAGUGAGGAAUAUUGGUCAAUGGACGCAAGUCUGAACCAGCCAUGCCGCGUGCAGGAAGACGGCUCUAUGAGUUGUAAACUGCUUUUGUACGAGGGUAAACUCACCUACGUGUAGGUGACUGAAAGUAUCGUACGAAUAAGGAUCGGCUAACUCCGUGCCAGCAGCCGCGGUAAUACGGAGGAUUCAAGCGUUAUCCGGAUUUAUUGGGUUUAAAGGGUGCGUAGGCGGUUUGAUAAGUUAGAGGUGAAGUCCCGGGGCUUAACUCCGGAACUGCCUCUAAUACUGUUAGAC